UACGUAGGGUGCGAGCGUUGUCCGGAAUUAUUGGGCGUAAAGGGCUCGUAGGCGGUCUGUCGCGUCGGGAGUGAAAACUCAGGGCUUAACCCUGAGCCUGCUUCCGAUACGGGCAGACUAGAGGUAUGCAGGGGAGAACGGAAUUCCUGGUGUAGCGGUGAAAUGCGCAGAUAUCAGGAGGAACACCGGUGGCGAAGGCGGUUCUCUGGGCCUUACCUGACGCUGAGGAGCGAAAGCGUGGGGAGCGAACAGG
rnacentral:rRNA from 1 species